rnacentral:rRNA from 1 species
ACUCAAAGGAAUUGACGGGGGCCCGCACAAGCGGUGGAGCAUGUGGUUCAAUUCGAUGCAACGCGAAGAACCUUACCGGGGUUUGAACUGUUGAAGAAACCUCCAGAGAUGGAGUCCUCCAGCAAUGGAUUUCAGCAGAGGUGCUGCAUGGCUGUCGUCAGUUCGUGUCGUGAGAUGUUGGGUUAAGUCCCGCAACGAACGCAACCCUUGCCACUAGUUGCUCAUUCUUAAAUGAAUAGCACUCUAGUUGGGACUGCUGGUGAUAAACCGGAGGAAGGUGGGGAUGACGUCAAGUCAUCAUGGCCUUUAUGUCCCGGGCUACACACGUGCUACAAUGGCUGGUACAGAGGGUCGCCAAUCCGCAAGGUGGAGCCAAUCCCACAAAGCCAGCCUCAGUUCGGAUUGCACUCUGCAACUCGAGUGCAUGAAGUUGGAAUCGCUAGUAAUCGCGGAUCAGCAUGCCGCGGUGAAUACGUUUCCGGGCCUUGUACACACCGCCCGU